rnacentral:rRNA from 1 species
CUAAGAAUCUUGCGCAAUGGGCGAAAGCCUGACGCAGCAAUUCCGCGUGGGGGACGAAGGCCCUCGGGUCGUAAACCCCUUUUGUGAGGGAAGAAGUUCUGACGGUACUUCACGAAUAAGACACGGCUAACUACGUGCCAGCAGCCGCGGUAAUACGUAGGUGUCGAGCGUUGUCCGGAUUUAUUGGGCGUAAAGAGCCCGCAGGCGGCUUGGUAAGUUCGAGGUGAAAUCUCCCGGCUCAACUGGGAGGGUGCCUCGAAAACUAUCAGGCUUGAGGCAGGGAGAGGGAUGUGGAAUUCCCGGUGUAGUGGUGAAAUGCGUAGAUAUCGGGAGGAACACCGGUGGCGAAGGCGGCAUCCUGGCCCUGUCCUGACGCUCAGGGGCGAAAGCGUGGGGAGCAAACC